AAAAUUCUUUGCUUAUCCACGGGGAAAUUCAUGGGGGUAGGUAAUCCUAAAACAAGAACAAACAGGAGCAAAACGGUCAAUGUAAAAGAGAUACAUAAAAAGACAAUGACAUUAAUUAUUGGGUACAGAUAACUACGAUGAUCUGUGUGUGUAAUCUUUCGUGGAUUUUGUCGAAGAACAAGGGCGUGGAUGGCUGGCUGGCUGCUCCAACAUGAGCCCUAUCUAAAGUAGGGAUCUGGGGGGUGUCUUAAUUAUUGUUAAAG
rnacentral:lncRNA from 1 species